rnacentral:piRNA from 1 species
UCAAGAUGAAAGACGUGCCCAGAGCCACCAG